AAACGUAAGGACUGGCACGAUUUUUUAUCAACUCCCAAAAGCCUGAAGAGAGAGAAGACUUGCCACUUGGAGAAAACCUGAAGUGAGAAAGGAUGAAGUGGAGUAUUAAGAGUAAUGCUUAUGCAUUAAAAAGAAACGAAAUGGUUGAAUAACAGCACAGCAUGCACCAACCAGUAUUCUACAGAAAGGUUUGGUUUCGGCUCAGAUGAGUAUGCAAAGAACACUAGGACUAUGCGCCUAAGGGCAGAGAUGCCUUUGUGGAGGGCUUUCGAAGGGAAACUGGCUCGUAUACGCGUUACACAUACGGAAAACCAUGAAAACGCCCAUGCAGCGGUUUUACAACUCUGCUGCUGGCGGGCUGUACAGAAAGGUAUAUACUUAAGUAUUGCCUAAAGGGCAUUGUUAACAAUGGGCUAUUCUCCUAUGAUGAUGUCAUUAAAUUAUGGCUUUUAUAAAAAUAUUCUUGUUUUUAAAAUGUAAUUUACUUUCAUCCUUAGUUUAUUAAAAUAAUUGGCCUAAGA
rnacentral:misc_RNA from 1 species